GGACAUGCAGAGCAUUGGUAUAGAAGCUAUAAAUAGGGCACGGCUUCUCCAUCGCACUCUGGAUGUGCUGAUUCCUGCGACAUCCCCAAAUGCAGGGAAUUCGGCUGCAUAAUUUGUGAUCACGGGGGGGGGGAAUUGAACUGGCACUCUCCCCUG